UUGAACGCUGGCGGCAGGCCUAACACAUGCAAGUCGAGCGGAUGAAGGGAGCUUUCUCCUGGAUUCAGCGGCGGACGGGUGAGUAAUGCCUAGGAAUCUGCCUGGUAGUGGGGGAUAACGUCCGGAAACGGGCGCUAAUACCGCAUACGUCCUGAGGGAGAAAGUGUGGGAUCUUCGGACCUCACGCUAUCAGAUGAGCCUAGGUCGGCUUAGCUGGUUGGUGGGGUAAAGGCCUACCAAGGCGACGAUCCGUAACUGGUCUGAGAGGAUGAUCAGUCACACUGGAACUGAGACACGGUCCAGACUCCUACGGGAGGCAGCAGUGGGGAAUAUUGGACAAUGGGCGAAAGCCUGAUCCAGCCAUGCCGCGUGUGUGAAGAAGGUCUUCGGAUUGUAAAGCACUUUAAGUUGGGAGGAAGGGCAGUAAGUUAAUACCUUGCUGUUUUGACGUUACCAACAGAAUAAGCACCGGCUAACUUCGUG
rnacentral:rRNA from 1 species